UAUCCAACCAACACAACUACAGCGACCUCAGAAUUUCCAAACUAUCUUUGUUUUUUCGCACAUCUGUUCUGAAAAUCGAGUUUCCGUAAUCGGAAUUGGUAUGAUUAGUUUGGUGUUUAUUAUUGUUCUUGAAGAAUCAAUUAAGGAAUCACCGUUGAGCAUCUCUCCAGUGACCAGGAUACAGUGGCUGCUUAUGAACUACUUGACUAUUUCUCAUACGCAAUUUUGGAUUUUCCAUGUGAUGAUUCUGAAUUUUCUACAUUGUUUUUUGAGGGAACCAAAUUCAAAUCCUUAAAGUUAUUAAGCUCUAGUGGACAGAGGAAUGGAGGCGCAAUCAUCAAGACAAAGAAAAAUGAUCUUCUGCUUAUGCCAACUGCUAGGGAAAACGCAUAGACUAGAUGCCCAACUUGCAAACAUUAUGUGGAGAUGAAGGACCCAGUUUUGGUAUAACUGUGGUCGAAAUUUGUUAGAUGGCGCCAUGGUGGUAACUGAAAAUAUUCUACAAAACAGCCAUAGCAACCUCGCAUUUCCCAAACUACUAUCUUUACUAUGCUAGCACUGAUAGAUUAUGAACUGAUCCUUUUUUUUUUCUUUUUAUUAUAUCUCCACUAACUCUUAUCUCCUUAAAUUUGGUUUACUGGUUUGUUAGAUGGCUCCACGGUGGUAACUGACAAUAUCCUACAAAACAGCUAUAGCAACCUCGCAUUUCCAAAACUACUAUCUUUAUUUUGCUAGCCCUGAUAAUUAUGAACUGAUCAUUUUUUUUUUCUAUUAUAUCUCCACCAACUCUUAUCUCCUUAAAUUUGGUUUACUGUUCUUUCAUACAUGAAAUAGAAGAAACGUGGGAGUAUGUGUUCUUUGUUUUGUUUCUUUCAUUGGUAAGAUGGAAAACCCAACUUCUUUUUGGAAGUGUUGAUUUCCAUUUGUUCUGAAACGGGGCUGACCCCAAGUGGGAAGAUCCAGAAUGUGCUAGCGGCCACAAGUUGUAUAUACCAUACAAAAGGAGCUGUCUCGACUAUGUAUGGCUAGAAAUGAUUAUAUAUAUAUACACACAAUGGAAUUCCAGAACAGAAGAUUGUAUGUUGAGUUGCCAAAUAAAGACAAGGAUCAUGUAUGCUAAGCCAUCGUGUUCAUUUAGGAUGCAUGGAAACCAAGGUAACCACCCGAUGCGUAGCACGGGUUACUUCCAAGACUUAGCUCACCCCUGGUCCAAAUUUUCUACCAUUGAAAUCGAUUCUCUUGACACAGUAUCCUACGGCCUUGUUUGGCAAAAUUUAUGAUUAUCUAUUUAUGAUUAUAGAUAAUCAAAAAUAGAUAAAUGAUUUUAGUAUAAUCAUUUUUAUAAUAAAUUUUCACAAACACCUUUAUCAAAUAAUUGAUUAUUUUUAAAAAAUGCUCCCUAAAAGUAGUGGAA